rnacentral:rRNA from 1 species
UACGUAGGGUGCAAGCGUUAAUCGGAAUUACUGGGCGUAAAGCGUGCGCAGGCGGUUGUGCAAGACAGAUGUGAAAUCCCCGGGCUUAACCUGGGGAAUUGCAUUUGUGACUGCACGGCUAGAGUGUGUCAGAGGGGGGGUAGAAUUCCACGUGUAGCAGUGAAAUGCGUAGAUAUGUGGAGGAAUACCGAUGGCGAAGGCAGCCCCCUGGGUCAAGAUUGACGCUCAUGCACGAAAGCGUGGGGGAGCAAACAGG